rnacentral:snRNA from 1 species
GUACUCUGGUUUCCCUUCAAAACGUAUAAAUCUUUCGCCUUUUACUAAAGAUUUCCGUGGAGGGGAACACUCAAAUGAGUCUUCAUUAUUUUUGACAUCUCGAAAUUAUUCGAGGU